rnacentral:rRNA from 1 species
UUAGAAGUAAAAGUCGUAACAAGGUCUCCGUUGGUGAACCAGCGGAGGGAUCAUUACCGAGUUUACAACUCCCAAACCCCUGUGAACAUACCACUUGUUGCCUCGGCGGAUCAGCCCGCUCCCGGUAAAACGGGACGGCCCGCCAGAGGACCCCUAAACUCUGUUUCUAUAUGUAACUUCUGAGUAAAACCAUAAAUAAAUCAAAACUUUCAACAACGGAUCUCUUGGUUCUGGCAUCGAUGAAGAACGCAGCAAAAUGCGAUAAGUAAUGUGAAUUGCAGAAUUCAGUGAAUCAUCGAAUCUUUGAACGCACAUUGCGCCCGCCAGUAUUCUGGCGGGCAUGCCUGUUCGAGCGUCAUUUCAACCCUCAAGCACAGCUUGGUGUUGGGACUCGCGUUAAUUCGCGUUCCCCAAAUUGAUUGGCGGUCACGUCGAGCUUCCAUAGCGUAGUAGUAAAACCCUCGUUACUGGUAAUCGUCGCGGCCACGCCGUUAAACCCCAACUUCUGAAUGUUGACCUCGGAUCAGGUAGGAAUACCCGCUGAACUUAAGC